rnacentral:lncRNA from 1 species
CGGCGACAGCUGGAGGCGCGGCAGCUACUGGUGCGGCUGGAGGGCGCUCUGCUCUAGUGCUGCGGACGAUGACGGCAACUGCUGGGAUGUUGCGGGACACGGCGGCGGCAGAGGUGCGGCGGCAAGAGAGAGAGAGAAGAGUUCGCGUGCGUGACUCGUGAGCAGGAGGCAGGAGCAGCGAUGAGGAAUUUAGGAUUUAGGAGAAUUAGGGAUUUUUAGUCAUUUAGGGAUCUCCUUACCAUUUAUCAAUUACAAUUACAAUAAUACUCCCUUCGUCCACCAAAGAUAUAUCACUUUAUUUUCGUCACGUGGAGUAAUGGUCCCACUUUAAAUGUGAAUGAAAUGAUGUGGGCCAUACUACUAAAAAUGGAUGUAAUAUAUUUUU